GUCUUCGAACUCUGAGUCUUCACUAUUUGUAUCUCCAAGUACGAAUUCUUCACUAUCUGUAUCUUGCUCCUGAUCAUAUUCAUUUCUAUCAUUUUUGUCCACAGUUUUGGAAAAUCUGUUAUCGUCAAGACCAAUAUCAGAUGUGCCAAAAGGCAACUGUACACAACGCAGAUAUAGUUGUAAAUGACAUCAUAUGGUGAAAGAUUAUCGGAAAGUAAUCCACGAUGAGGAGAUUCGUCAUAUCUUUCCACAAUUAAAUAGUUAAGAGAAACAUCAAAAGAAACACUCAUAUAUAAAAUGGGUAAAAAUGAAAUGGUCAGAAUUUAUGAAUUUUUAACUGAAUUUAAUUGUAGUAAAUGUAUAUAUAUAUAUAUAUUUUACCAAAUAAUUAU